rnacentral:rRNA from 1 species
UUGACCUCGGAUCAGGUAGGAAUACCCGCUGAACUUAAGCAUAUCAAUAAGCGGAGGAAAUCGAAUUCCCGCGGCCGCCAUGGCGGCCGGGAGCAUGCGACGUCGGGCCCAAUUUC